rnacentral:rRNA from 1 species
AGAACGAACGCUGGCGGCACGCCUAACACAUGCAAGUCGAGCGCCCAGCAAUGGGAGCGGCGGACGGGUGAGGAACACGUGGGAAUAUGCCUUUCGGUUCGGCACAACUGCGGGAAACUGCAGCUAAUUCCGGAUACGCCCUUACGGGGAAAGAUUUAUCGCCGAAAGAUUAGCCCGCGUCUGAUUAGCUAGUUGGUGAGGUAAUGGCUCACCAAGGCUUCGAUCAGUAGCUGGUUUGAGAGAACGACCAGCCACACUGGGACUGAGACACGGCCCAGACUCCUACGGGAGGCAGCAGUGGGGAAUCUUGGACAAUGGAGGAAACUCUGAUCCAGCGAUGCCGCGUGAGUGAUGAAGGCCUUCGGGUUGUAAAACUCUUUUACCAGGGAAGAUAAUGACUGUACCUGGAGAAUAAGCUCCGGCUAACUUCGACGCCAGCAGCCGC